rnacentral:misc_RNA from 1 species
UUUCCGUAGGUGAACCUGCGGAAGGAUCAUUAAAGAGUAAGGGUCUUCGGGCCCGAUCUCCAACCCUUUGUUUAACUACCAUGUUGCUUUGGCGGGCCCGUCUCACGACCGCCGGAAGUUUGGCUUCGACCAAACUGCCGGCCCGUGCCCGUCAGUGGCCCCUUCCAAUUCUUGAUCAAGUAUGAUGUCUUAGUUAAAAACUUAAUAGUUAAAGCUUUCAACAACGGAUCUCUUGGUUCUG